UUUGAUCCUGGCUCAGAACGAACGCUGGCGGCGCGCCUAAUACAUGCAAGUCGAACGAGAAUGUGUAGCAAUACACAUGUACAGUGGCGAACGGGUGAGGAAUACAUGGGUAACCUACCCUCGAGUGGGGAAUAACUAGCCGAAAGGUUAGCUAAUACCGCGUACGCUUCCGGGACUGCGGUUUCGGAAGGAAAGCGAUACCGUGGGUAUCGCGCUCUUGGAUGGGCUCAUGCCCUAUCAGCUUGUUGGUGAGGUAACGGCUCACCAAGGCUUCGACGGGUAGCUGAUCUGAGAGGAUGAUCAGCCACACUGGCACUGCGACACGGGCCAGACUCCUACGGGAGGCAGCAGUAAGGAAUAUUGCGCAAUGGGCGAAAGCCUGACGCAGCGACGCCGCGUGGGGGAUGAAGGUCUUCGGAUUGUAAACCCCUUUCGGGAGGGAAGACGGGAUGGGGUAACCCAUUCGGACGGUACCUCCAGAAGCAGCCACGGCUAACUUCGUGCCAGCAGCCGCGGUAAUACGAAGGUGGCAAGCGUUGUUCGGAUUUACUGGGCGUACAGGGAGCGUAGGCGGUUGGAUAAGCCCUCCGUGAAAUCUCCAGGCUUAACCUGGAAAGUGCAGAGGGGACUGUUCAGCUAGAGGAUGGGAGAGGAGCGCGGAAUUCCCGGUGUAGCGGUGAAAUGCGUAGAGAUCGGGAGGAAGGCCGGUGGCGAAGGCGGCGCUCUGGAACAUUUCUGACGCUGAGGCUCGAAAGCGUGGGGAGCAAACAGGAU
rnacentral:rRNA from 1 species